rnacentral:rRNA from 1 species
UACGUAGGGUGCAAGCGUUAAUCGGAAUUACUGGGCGUAAAGCGUGCGCAGGCGGUUAUGCAAGACAGAUGUGAAAUCCCCGGGCUCAACCUGGGAACUGCAUUUGUGACUGCAUGGCUAGAGUACGGUAGAGGGGGAUGGAAUUCCGCGUGUAGCAGUGAAAUGCGUAGAUAUGCGGAGGAACACCGAUGGCGAAGGCAAUCCCCUGGACCUGUACUGACGGCUCAUGCACGAAAGCGUGGGGAGCAAACGAGG